GUGCUCGGUUUGGCAGCACAUAUACUAAAACUGGAAUGAUACAGAGAAGAUUAGCAUGGCCCCUGCACAAGGAUGACACACAAAUUUGUGAAAAUUAUUUUCUUCUC
ensembl:snRNA U6 U6 spliceosomal RNA